UACGGAGGAUGCAAGCGUUAUCCGGAAUGAUUGGGCGUAAAGCGUCCGCAGGUGGCUAUGUAAGUCUGCUGUUAAAGAGUCUGGCUCAACCAGAUAAAGGCAGUGGAAACUACACGGCUAGAGUACGUUCGGGGCAGAGGGAAUUCCUGGUGUAGCGGUGAAAUGCGUAGAGAUCAGGAAGAACACCAGUGGCGAAGGCGCUCUGCUAGGCCGUAACUGACACUGAGGGACGAAAGCUAGGGGAGCGAAUGGG
rnacentral:rRNA from 1 species